GGAUGAUCACGAAAAUUAUCCCGCAAUCAUAAAGCUCGAGCAGCAAAUAAAUAAUUUGGAACAUUUGGCUUCAAAGAUUUUGGCCCACGUGUCAGUGUUGACAGCCCACAUGAACGUAAAAAAAUAAUUUCCCGAUCACUACGUUUGCAGAGCUCAACCAAAUUGACCCCGAUGCCGAAGCAAAUCCGGAUGCAUUUGUACAUAAAUCAGAUUAUUCAAAAAUAUAAUCGGCGGGGAAGGCAUCGUAACAGGCCUACGCCGUCUGAUAGCAGACGAAUUGCUCUUUAAAAUGAACUUAUCCGGAAAGAUGGGACAGGUCGGUCUCAUGAAGUACUCAAGCUUCACAAACGUGCUAUAUGAGUCACUCAGGCACGAGCAUUACAGCCUUCGGCAGUUCCAUGAUGACCUGCGCGCAUCGUUCGCGAAAGCGAA